UACGUAGGGGGCAAGCGUUGUCCGGAAUUAUUGGGCGUAAAGAGCGUGUAGGCGGCCAGAUAAGUCCGCUGUGAAAUCUCGAGGCUCAACUUCGAGCUGUCGGUGGAAACUAUCUGGCUAGAGUCCGGAAGAGGAGAAUGGAAUUCCUGGUGUAGCGGUGAAAUGCGCAGAUAUCAGGAAGAACACCCGCGGCGAAGGCGGUUCUCUGGGACGGUACUGACGCUGAGACGCGAAAGCGUGGGGAGCGAACAGG
rnacentral:rRNA from 1 species